AUACCGGCGGCCCGAGUGGCGGCCACUAUUAUUGGGCCUAAAGCGUCCGUAGCCGGGCUGGUAAGUCCCCCGGGAAAUCUGGCGGCUUAACCGUCAGACUGCCGGGGGAUACUGCCAGCCUAGGGACCGGGAGAGGCCGGGGGUAUUCCCGGGGUAGGGGUGAAAUCCUGUAAUCCCGGGAGGACCACCUGUGGCGAAGGCGCCCGGCUGGAACGGGUCCGACGGUGAGGGACGAAGGCCAGGGGAGCGAACCGGAUUAGAUACCCUAGUAGUCC
rnacentral:rRNA from 1 species